rnacentral:ncRNA from 2 species
AUGGAAAUACCGGGGAGCAUAAAAGCUGAGAGGAUAAGGAUCGACCCGUGUAACCUGAUCCGGACAAUACCGGCGGAGGGAGAUGGAUACGAAUAGAG